rnacentral:tRNA from 2 species
GCGGGCGUAGUUCAGUGGUAGAACGUCAGCUUCCCAAGCUGAAUGUCGUCGGUUCAAUCCCGAUCGCCCGCUCCA